UACGUAGGGUGCAAGCGUUAAUCGGAAUUACUGGGCGUAAAGCGUGCGCAGGCGGUUAUACAAGACAGAUGUGAAAUCCCCGGGCUCAACCUGGGAAUUGCAUUUGUGACUGUAUGGCUAGAGUGUGUCAGAGGGGGGUAGAAUUCCACGUGUAGCAGUGAAAUGCGUAGAUAUGUGGAGGAAUACCGAUGGCGAAGGCAGCCCCCUGGGAUAACACUGACGCUCAUGCACGAAAGCGUGGGGAGCAAACAGG
rnacentral:rRNA from 1 species